rnacentral:rRNA from 1 species
AGGGCACCACCAGGAGGGGAGCCUGCGGCUUAAUUUGACUCAACACGGGAAAACUUACCCGGCCCGGACACUGGCAGGAUUGACAGAUUGAGAGCUCUUUCUUGAUUCGGGGGGGGGGGGUGCAUGGCCGUUCUUAGUUGGGGGAGCGAUUUGUCUGGUUAAUUCCAAUAACGAACGAGACUCUAGCCUACUAAAUAGGCCACCGGCUUACUGACGUCGGUGGGGCUUCUUAGAGGGACAGGCGGCGAUUCAGCCGCACGAAACAGAGCAAUAACAGGGCUGUGAUGCCCUUAGAUGUCCGGGGCCGCACGCGCGCUACACUGAAGUGAUCAGCGUGCAUUACAAACCUGCUCCGUCAGGAGUGGGGAACCCAAUGAACCUUCUUCGUGAUUGGGAUAGGGGAUUGUAAUUAUUCCCCUUGAACGAGGAAUUCCCAGUAAGCGCGAGUCAUAAGCUCGCGUUGAUUACGUCCCUGCCCUUUGUACACACCGCCCGUCGCUACUACCGAUUGAAUGAUUU